UACGGAGGGUGCGAGCGUUGUCCGGAAUCAUUGGGCGUAAAGGGCGCGUAGGUGGCCUUCUAAGCGUGCGGUGAAAGCCUGGGGCUCAACCCCGGGUCGGCCGUGCGAACUGGGGGGCUUGAGCACUGUAGAGGCAGGCGGAAUUCCGGGUGUAGCGGUGGAAUGCGUAGAGAUCCGGAAGAACACCGGUGGCGAAGGCGGGCUGCUGGGCAGUUUUGCUGACACUGAGGCGCGACAGCGUGGGGAGCAAACAGG
rnacentral:rRNA from 1 species